GCAACACGAUUAUAUUAACUGGGGGCCAAAUCAUAAUUUUCCGUCCACCCUAGGUGAUCUUCGCAGGUGUUUAUCAAAAAUGUCCAGGAAAGUUGGAAGAAUUACCAAGUUAAGGCUAUAAUGCAAAGCACAAGUCUACUCUAAGGCCGCAGUGUCGCAGUGAAAAUAUCAUCUUCAGAUAAUGGAGAGUGGAUUUUCCACGGCUUCCCGCAAAAUGACUUGAUGCAGUUAGACGGUGACUGGGACUCUUUCAAAAAAUAACCUCAAACCGACUCACACCCUCACAUUGUGAUGCCUCUGUCAAUGCUCUGCUACUCAGAAAGCAUGGCCUUUCUUUGAAGCUGCCAGCCCAAGUCUGCAUGUCUAUCAGCAGCAAUGCUCAGCCAUGUUUGCAGUUGAGCUCCCUCUCUCAGUCAAGGGAGAUGUCUAUAUCAUUACUCAGAUUGAAGAAGUCUCAGUAUGAUGUAUCAUCUCUUCAUAAUUGAAAAAAAAAGCACGGUGGAGAAGCAAAAAAAACAUAAGGAAUUCAAGUCUGUAUCAUUAUACAUGUAUGCUAUCUUUAUUCUUCUAUGUAUAUCUUCGGUGUAUGUUAUGGAGGUGCUUAUCCAAACUAGACUUUUGUGUGAAUACAUUCCCACAUUCAGGGC
rnacentral:sRNA from 2 species